rnacentral:rRNA from 1 species
UACGUAGGGUGCAAGCGUUGUCCGGAUUUAUUGGGCGUAAAGAGCUCGUAGGCGGUCUGUCGCGUCGGAUGUGAAAACCCAGGGCUCAACCCUCGGGCCUGCAUUCGAUACGGGCAGACUAGAGUACGGCAGGGGAGACUGGAAUUCCUGGUGUAGCGGUGAAAUGCGCAGAUAUCAGGAGGAACACCGGUGGCGAAGGCGGGUCUCUGGGCCGUUACUGACGCUGAGGAGCGAAAGCGUGGGGAGCGAACAGG